AACAACUGAAAUGUGAUAACAGUUGAUUAGACUCGACUCCAACAUGCAAACAUAUAGCUAAGAAAUUACAGAGAUUAACGAUAUGUGUUCUUCUACAACAGAUUCACUUUGCCUUCAAACCUGACAUUGAAGAACUUUGAAGGUCUGGACCUUGGAAAGAUGGACGAGGCAAGCAUCGAUCAGAUUGUAUCCAAUACUUUAGUCUGAAUAGUGGCAAUGAUCCACUCAAAAAAAAAAAAAAAAUUAAAGCAUACGGUUUUGUUUCCUGAUUUGUUCCUAAACUUGUAAUAUUUUCACCUGCAGGCCAAUGACUCUGGCUUGGCUUCAUAUGUUGCUGGUCAAAUUGACCGUACCUUGAGCUGGAAGGUAAGAGAACAUAAAAAAAAUGUUUAGAUAGUACAGCAAAACCGAUUAAUUUGAACAUAAACUUGAUUCAGAUUGCUCUAACUUUCACCUACACAAACAGGAUGUCCAAUGGCUCCAAACAAUCACCAACUUGCCAAUUCUUGUCAAGGGUGUUCUUACAGGAGAAGAUGGUGAGUUACCAUUUUUAUUAACAAAUGUUUUCAACAGUUGAGUUUCAUAGAAAUAUCUGACAAGGUCAACAAUUAUUUAUUUGCCUCGUGCAGCAAGGAUAGCGAUUCAAGCUGGAGCCGCAGGGAUCAUUGUGUCAAACCAUGGAGCUCGCCAGCUUGACUAUGUCCCAGCCACAAUCUCAGCCCUUGAAGAGGUAGAUCAUCCCCAACUACAAGCAUCAAUCAAUAUGUGUUCUCGUGUAAGUGCUUUGUCCAACCAUUUGAGUUCUGUUCUAAUGUGUUCAGGUUGUCAAAGCGACGCAAGGACGAGUCCCUGUCUUCUUGGAUGGUGGUGUUCGACGUGGCACAGAUGUCUUCAAGGCACUUGCACUUGGAGCCUCAGGGAUAUUUGUAAGCAUCAUAUUUCUAUUCACCAGAAAGAAAACUUGAAACCAUUUACAGUAACAACACAGUAUUUCUAAUACUCUCAAUCUCACAGAUUGGAAGACCAGUGGUAUUCGCACUAGCUGCUGAAGGAGAAGCUGGAGUCAGAAAGGUGCUUCAAAUGUUACGUGAUGAGUUCGAGCUAACCAUGGCACUAAGUGGGUGCCGGUCACUGAGUGAAAUCACCCGCAACCACAUUGUCACUGAAUGGGAUACUCCACGGCAUUUGCCAAAGUUAUAGAGAAAAAAAAAAAACAAAAAAAAAACAACAACAACACAGAGCAUGUAAUGCCUAAACCUAUUCAUAUUUUGAUUGAUCGAUCACAUGGCUUUUACUCUGUUUUUUUUCUUUCUUUCAUAAUAUAUCUCAAGACUUGUUUUUCCCUGUAUUGAAACACAAACAAUGGCUAUUCUCUGUAAUGCUAUUUGGCGACUUCUACCUUCUGUUCAUUCUUCUUGUUUGUACAAUAUAUUUCUAGGCUACUCAUGUGUUCUAUAAUCUGAUUGACACUAGCACAGUCCUAUUUUACAUUAUUGCACAUAAAUCUGUGACACAAACUAACAGCAGCCAGAACCUUACGUAAGGUUGCAAUCUAACAAUACGAUGCGGUAACACAGAUCAAGAAAAAGAUAAGUUUAAACCAUUCAAACUAAACCUCAUUGAAGAAGAUUUGCCUUAGCUCCUCUCUGUUAUUUUCCCUUCUUUCUUCAGUUCUUGUUUCUCAACGACUGCGCUGGGCUCUGUCUCGCAUAGUAAAGCCCAAUAGAAUUUGGCUCGCUCUUGGAUUUAUAUUGCACUUUCAGAAAGACAGGAAAACAAAUUAUUAAUAUUUCGUGGAGAUUAAGAACACGAUAAUAUGAAAGAAAAAUAUGACACACACAUUCCAUCUGAUCUUUUGUCUUUAUCUCCUCCUCCAUUCUUCACCUCCAGCUUCUCAUCCAUAUUAGUUUUUUUCUAUUGCCAACAUUUUUUUUUUCAACUGUUACAGAAAUAAUUAUUUACGAGCCAAUCAAUCCAUCACAAAUAUUAUACAUAUUUAACCCAAAAAAAUAAAAUAUAUUAAACGUUAAGAUAUAUAUUACAAGCUCCGGUUACCACUCGCACUCUUCAUCUCUCCCUAGAGCUCCAUUCCAAUCAAGGUGAGUGGAAUUCUCUGUUUAUACUAAACAGUUCAUGGACAUGUUUUCUCUCUAAACGUAGCUAUGACUAUGUCUGAAUUUCACAAAAGACAGCUAACUCAUGUCUUCUUUUGCUCUUUUUGACAGACCAACGUCCGAAAAUGGAGAUCACAAACGUUACCGAGUAUGACGCCAUCGCCAAGCAGAAGUUGCCUAAGAUGGUUUACGACUACUAUGCGUCUGGUGCAGAGGACCAGUGGACUCUUCAAGAGAACAGAAACGCUUUUGGAAGGAUCCUGUGAGUGUUUCUUUUCUUUUCUUACGACAUGAAAUCUCUUGUUUAUGAUUGGCUUUUACAAGAGAUGUGAUGCAUACCUUGGGCUGUUUAAUAGCUUCCGCCCACGGAUUUUGAUUGAUGUGAACAAGAUUGACAUGGCAACCACUGUCUUGGGGUUCAAAAUCUCGAUGCCGAUCAUGGUUGCUCCUACUGCCAUGCAAAAGAUGGCUCACCCUGAUGGUAAAUACUAAGUUAUGUAGAGACCGCAGAGUGAACUUGUUUAGAGACAAAGACUAAAGUCGCUCUAACUACUCUGUUUGGUUACUAAUGCAGGAGAAUAUGCUACCGCUAGAGCUGCAUCUGCAGCUGGAACUAUCAUGGUAUACUAUAUCAUUAAUUCAUUACCUAAUAUUUCCUCCAAAGCAAAAUUCUUAACCUUUUCUGUGUUUGGAGAUUUUAAAUCCGCGACGCAUACCCAUGUCUCUGGUUUGAGUUAUUUUCUUCCAUGAUUUAUCAGACACUAUCUUCAUGGGCUACUUCCAGUGUUGAAGAAGUUGCUUCCACAGGGCCAGGGAUCCGUUUCUUUCAGCUCUAUGUAAGUCAUCUCGAGAGCUUGUUGUACAUACUGAAAACCCUGGUCACACAUGAUGGUUCACACAUUAUGAUUGUUGAAUAGGUAUACAAGAACAGGAAUGUGGUUGAGCAGCUGGUGAGAAGAGCUGAGAGGGCUGGGUUUAAAGCCAUUGCUCUCACUGUGGAUACCCCAAGGCUAGGGCGUAGAGAGUCUGAUAUAAAGAACAGGUAAAGCCAAGUCAGUUGGAAUAUGAUGAGAGUUUACUGGAUUUUAAAAUGCGAACACAUCACUCAAAAGCAUAACGUUCUUCUGCUACAGAUUCACUUUGCCUCCUAACCUGACAUUGAAGAACUUUGAAGGUCUUGACCUCGGAAAGAUGGAUGAGGUAAGCAUUCAUUAGAUAUUAUCCAGCCUUAUAUCCUGAAUAUGAUGCUCACUAAGCAGCAUUAAAGCAGAGUUGUUAUGUUUAUUCCUGAGUUCCUGAGCUAGUUAUGUUUCC
rnacentral:lncRNA from 1 species